rnacentral:sRNA from 1 species
ACCCAUUCAAAGAGAUAUUUCUUGUCUUCCACAAGGGAGUAGUCGGUGUUUGAUCGACCAGCGACAGUCUCUAGAGCGACCACACCAAAUGAGAAAACAUCAACCUUUUCAGUUAAAUGGCCUCUCAUUGCAUACUCAGGUGCCAGGUAGCCACUAGACAAAGUUCAAGCAAGUGCAAUCAGUACAGGUUAUUUAACAUAUACACGAACAUGAUAGCCAUGAUGAAUGCGCUUACAACGUGCCGGCAACUUUUGUGUUAACAUGAGUCUUCUUCUCAUCAUAGAGCUUGGCAAGCCCAAAAUCAGAUAUCUUGGGUGUUAAAUCAGGGUCGAGUAGGAUGUUACUAGCCUUGAUGUCCCGAUGCACGAUGCGCACAUUGGCCUCCUCAUGAAGAUAACUUAGCCCUCUUGCAAUGCCUAAAAUGAUUUCAAAACGUGUUGACCAGCCAAGGUUGAACCUACCAUCCCCUGCAUUUCCAAAAACGACCAAGAUAAAUGACAUGAUGAUAAAGAGAAGAAAAAUAUAAAGAGUUAAGA